rnacentral:rRNA from 1 species
AUCUUGAAAAUUAAAGAAGUUGGCGGUACCUUAGUCUAUUCAGAGGAACCUGUCCUGUAAUUGAUAGUCCACGAGUUUUCCUACUUAAUCUUUAAGUUUAUAUAUCGCCGUAGAUUGAAUAUUUUUAAAAAUUAGUAAUGUUCAAGAUUCCUUUAAUAGGAAAGAACUCAGGUCAAGAUAUAGCCGAUGGUUAAGAAGAGAUGGGUUACAAUAAAUUUAUUUAUACGAAUUAAUAGAUGAAAUUUUAUUAUGAAGGUGGAUUUGAGGGUAAUUUUAUUAAAAUUAAUAAGAUGAUUAAGCUCUAUGGUAUGUACAUAUCGCCCGUCGCUUUCACCCCAAGGUGGAAUAAGUCGUAACAAAGUAGAUGUACUGGAAAGUGUAUCUAGAAAGAAUAAAUUAGAGCUUGAUAAAGCAUUUUAGUUACAUUAAAAAGUUUAUUGUAAAAUCAAUAUAAUUUAAAUUAAAUAAAUUAUUAAGUGAAUUAAUUUUAUUGAAGAUAAUUUAAAAAAAAUAGUUUUUUUUUUUAUUAAAUUUUAUGAAAAAAUAAAUUUUAUUAUAGAGAAAUAGUAUUGUGAAAAAAUUUUAUUUAAUAAGGAAAAGAAAAAUUAAGUUUUUGUACCUGGGNNNNGGUUUAUUAACUAAUAUUUAAAUAUUUAAUUUUCUCGAAUUAAUAAGAGCUAUGAUUAAAUAAAGUAUUUUGUUGAAUAAAAAUGAUAAAUUUAAUUAUAGAGGUGAAACGCUAUUCGAUUAUUAAUAUAUCUAGUUUUUAAAGAAAAAAAUUUAAUUUUUUUAUUAAUUAGUAUAGGUUUUUGUUGAUAAUAUUAUAUUUUUAAUACAUAAUAUUCUAGGGGAUAAGCUUUAGAAUAAAAUUUUUUAAGGUAUUUAUAAUUUAAAUUAAGUAGAAUUGGAAGUUUUUAUCUUUAAGAUUGUGUUACAACUUUUUUUAGUAUUGUAAAAAAUUUAUAUUAAUUAUCUUGAAAUUUUUUAUUUAAAUAAAAAUUUUAUUUAUAAAGAUUUUUUAAUAAUGAUUGAAUUAGUAUAAGUAUUAGUCUAAAAUAAUAUGAAUAUUAGGUUAAAUAAAGGAAUUCGGCAAAUCUAUUUUUCACCUGUUUAUUAAAAACAUGGCCUUUUGAUUAUAAUUUAAGGUCUAACCUGCCCUAUGAGUAGUUAAAUGGCUGCGGUACCCUGACCGUGCAAAGGUAGCAUAAUAAUUAGUUUUUUAAUUGAAAGCUGGAAUGAAAGGUUGGAUGAGAAAAUAACUGUCUCUGUUUAAAUUAAUUAUAAUUUUAUUUUUAAGUAAAAAAGCUUAAAUUUCAAUAAAAGACGAGAAGACCCUAUAGAGUUUUAUUAAUUUUGAAAUUAGGGGUUUUUUAGGAUCUAA